GAUGAACGCUGGCGGCGUGCCUAAUACAUGCAAGUCGAGCGAAUGGAUUAAGAGCUUGCUCUUAUGAAGUUAGCGGCGGACGGGUGAGUAACACGUGGGUAACCUGCCCAUAAGACUGGGAUAACUCCGGGAAACCGGGGCUAAUACCGGAUAACAUUUUGAACCGCAUGGUUCGAAAUUGAAAGGCGGCUUCGGCUGUCACUUAUGGAUGGACCCGCGUCGCAUUAGCUAGUUGGUGAGGUAACGGCUCACCAAGGCAACGACGCGUAGCCGACCUGAGAGGGUGAUCGGCCACACUGGGACUGAGACACGGCCCAGACUCCUACGGGAGGCAGCAGUAGGGAAUCUUCCGCAAUGGACGAAAGUCUGACGGAGCAACGCCGCGUGAGUGAUGAAGGCUUUCGGGUCGUAAAACUCUGUUGUUAGGGAAGAACAAGUGCUAGUUGAAUAAGCUGGCACCUUGGCGGUACCUAACCAGAAAGCCACGGCUAACUACGUGCCAGCAGCCGCCGCUG
rnacentral:rRNA from 1 species